UACGCCCCGAACUUAAGCAUAUCAUUAAGGGCAGGAAAAGAAACCAACUGGGAUUCCACUAGUAGCGGCGAGUGAACAUGGAUGAGCUCCGAUGGUAAAGUGUGCGCACUGUUGUAAAGAGCGUCGAGACAGAGACCCGAUGGAAAGCGGGGCUUCCACGAGUGAGAGCCUCGGAACUGUCUGCAGCAAAUAGGUAGAGUAGCGUUGCUUGGUAGUGCAAUGUGGAACGGGAGGUAGUAACUUCCAAAGCUAAAUAUACCCAGAGAUCGAUAGCGAAUAAGUAGCGCGAGCGAAGUGUGAAAAAAUUUCAUUUAGAAAGUGAAACAGUGAAAGUACCAGGGCGUAAGCCGAGGAACUCGGAC
rnacentral:rRNA from 1 species